rnacentral:lncRNA from 1 species
CAAAUUCAAAGAAGCCUCAAAGGAAUUCCAAAGAAAUAAUAAGAAAUCUUAAAGAAAUAUUAGAAUGAUUACAAACAUAUGUCAAAUACAUCUCAAUUCAAUCUUAAUUUAAUUCUAGUUGAAAUCUUAUUGGACUUCAUUCAAACUUUAGGCCAAAAAUCAACUAAAUCUUAAAUCCUAAACAAAAUCAAAUAAAAUCCUAAAUCCUAAAUCAAACCCUAAAUCCUAAAUCAAAUCCUAAAUCCUAAAUCAAAUCCUAACCAAAUCCUAAAUCCUAAAUCAAAUCCUAACCAAUCCUAAAUCAAACCCUAAAUCCUGAACCAAAUUCUAACCAAAUUCUAAUUCUAAAUCAAACCUUGACUAAAUCCUAAAUCUUAAACCAAAUCUUAAUCCUAAAUCAAACCCUAAUCAAAUCCUAAACUCUAAAUCAAACUCUAAUCCUAAAUCAAACCCUAACCAAAUCCUAAUCCUAAAUCAAACCCUAACCAAAUUCUAAUCUUAAAUCAAACCUUAAUCCUAAAUCAAAUCCUAAUCAAAAUCUAAUCCUAAAUCAAACCCUAACCAAACCCUAAUCCUAAAUCAAAUCCUAACCAAAUCCUAAACCAAAUCCUAGUAAUUUCUACAACAAUUUUACACCUCAAUUACUAAUGGAUGAGCCGUUGAUCUUAACUCAAAAUUUACAUGCUUUUUUAUAAUUAAGUUGAAAAUAAGUAAAAAAAAAAUUGAAAAGAAUCGGAAUUACCAAAUAGACGAUAGCUUCAAAAACGUGCUUGGAUAUUGGCUUCCUUCUCCGACCUUGAUGUUAAUCUUCCAAAGCCAAUAUCUCUCUUUUUCACUAUUUUAUUGAUUUCAAAAUUCUUAUACAUAUAGAAAAACAAGUCUUAUAUCCUCUCACAUAAAUUUCACUCCAUUCCAUCUAGUAGAUUGCAAGAAAUCUUAAAAAUCUUCACUAGACCUAAAAUUAUACUUUCUGAGACCUUGACUCACUUAAACCUCAAUAACCCUCAAUUCAACCAUUAGAUCAAGCUAAGAUUCACAACACAUAUUAAGCACAACUAUGACCAUUAAUUCAAAAAAAAUUCCUUGUAGAUCUGUUACAAAACUCUUGAAAUCACUAGAAAUAACAAUCCUAUUGUAUUUCACAAAAUCCAAGUCAUCUAAAAAUAAUCUUAACUUUGUAAAGCUUUUACAAAGUCA